GAAAGAUACAAAAAUCAGCACCCUCAAUGCCUCGAUACACAGAAAAACAACAGCCAAAAUUUCAAAUCAGAAAGAAAUACCAGAGAGUAUAUAUACAGACCCGCUAACUGAAAACUUAAACUGCUUCUAUAAAAGUUUGGGUUGAAUGAAAAGAACUUUAAAUGUUCACUAGAAAACCACAAGAGUGAGGAAACAGAAUACAAAUCAUUGCAAAUGAAGAUCAAAGUACUAAAACUCAAGUAUUAAUAAUUCAAAAGUUGUAUAACUAGUGAUAAGUCAGAAUUUCAUGCGACUAAUCAUCCAAACAAGCAAUUCGCUAUUCCCAAGAAAGUUCAAGCCGAAUCAACAUUUAAAGUGAUGUUUAUCUUUUAAACACGCAAUUUAAGGUCAUACACAAUCACUUGAA
rnacentral:misc_RNA from 1 species